UUUGGCCAUGAUGAUAUGGAUUGCUGGUACAAUACCACUGCAGGCAAUGGUACAGACAAUACUAAAGGAACAAAGGACAGGGUGCAAGAUCCAUAAAGGAGAUCAAAGACUAAAGCAGUCCGGAGAGAGUGGCUCAUUAAGAAACAACAUGACAAUAUGCAGGAGACACCUCCUGAGAAGGCUGAAUCAAGUAAGGCUAUGGAAGAGAAGCAGGUCUUGCCAAGUGUGCAGCCUCCACAAUCUAGUCCUCAGAUGGCUCUAACUAAUCAGGAGCAGUCUAUUGGCAAUGCUGGUGACCACCAUAGUAAGGAUUUUGCUGAAUGCAAUAAAGGCAAGGCAGUGAUUACAAACACAGGAUCUUCUCAUAUUGUAC
rnacentral:lncRNA from 1 species